AUUGAACGCUGGCGGCAGGCCUAACACAUGCAAGUCGAGCGGAGCGGCGGAAGGGUGAGUGAUGCCUAGGAAUCUGCCUGGUGGUGGGGGAUACCGUCCGGGAAGGGAAGCUAAUACCGCAUGCUAUCAGAUCAGCCUAGGUCGGAUUAGCUAGUGGGUGGGGUAAAGGCCUACCAAGGCGACGAUCCAUAGCUGGCCUGAGAGGAUGAUCAGGCACACUGGAACUGAGACACGGCCCAGACUCCUACGGGAGGCAGCAGUAGGGAAUAUUGGACAAUGGGCGAAAGUCUGACCCAGCCAUGCCGCGUGAGUGAAGAAGGUCUUCGGAUUGUAAAGCUCUGUUAGUAGGGAAGCGGUACCUACAGAAAAAGCCCCGGCUAACUUCGUGCCAGCAGCCGCGGUAAUAC
rnacentral:rRNA from 1 species